GUGUAAAUACAGCGAAAUGGCAGAAGUUGGUUUUUCUCAAGACUAGUUCAUCUGUCCUGUAUGUCUGGAUCUACUAAAGGAUCCGGUGGCCAUUCCGUGUGGACACAGUUACUGUAUGAGCUGUGUUACAGAUUGCUGGGAUCAGGAGGACGAGAAGGGAGUCUACAGCUGCCCUCAAUGCAGACAAACAUUCAGUCCAAGACCUGCUUUAAAUAAAAACUCCAUUCUUGCUGAAUUAGUGGAGCAACUCCAGAAGACUAAACUCCAAGCUUCUGUUCCUGCUGGACUUGGAGAUGUGAAGUGUGACGUUUGCUCUGGAAGAAAACAAAAAGCUGUCAAGUCCUGCCUGGUGUGUCUGAACUCCUACUGUCAAAAUCACCUCCAGCAACACGAGAAUUUCUUCAAAGGUAAGAGGCACAAUCUGAUAGAUGCUACAGGACGACUCGAGGAGAUGAUCUGCCCAAAACACAAUAAAGCACUGGAAAUCUUCUGUCACACGGAUGAAGAGUGCAUUUGUUACCUGUGUACGAUGGACGAUCACAAAAACCACGAUACAGUCGCAGCUGAAGCAGAGAGGACAACGAAACAGGUGGUUUUGGAAGAAAGAAGGAUUAAGUUCCAGCAGAGAAUCCAUCAGAGAGAAAGAGACCUUGAGGAGCUCGAACAGGCUAUAGAGUCUCAUAAGCUUUCUGCGCAGAAAACAGUGGAGGACAGUGAACGGAUCUUCAAUGAGCUCAUCCUUUCUAUUGAGAAAGGGCGCUCUGAGGUGACACAACUGAUCAGAAAUCAGGAAGAGGCUGCAGUGAGUCAAGCUGAAGGAUUCAUGAAGGAACUGGAGCAGGAGAUUUGUGAUCUGAAGAGGAAAGAUGCUGAACUGGAGCAUCUUUCACACACAGAGGAUCACAUCGGUUUCCUAAAGAGUUUCCAGUCUCUUUCUGAACCUCCUGAAUCUACAGAUGUGCCUAACUUCAGCUCUAUGCAGCCUUUUGAUGACAUUGGAAGGUCUGUGUUUCAAAUGAAAGAAAAACUGGAGAAUUUCUGUAGAGAAGACAUUGACAAGAUGUCUGGCCGAGGGGCUCCGUCACAAACGGAAAAGGCACACAAUGAUGGAGAGAAGAAGAAAAGUGAUGAUGAAGCUCCUGACAACAAUGAGAUGCAUCCUGGUGAGGAGGACGAGGAGAUCCUGUUUAAGGAGAGAACCAGGUUGUACCACUGGGAUGACCAGUGGAAGGACCGUGGCUUUGGGAACAUCAAGAUCUUCUUCCACCCACUGAAGAAGCGCUACCACGUACUGAUGAGGCACGAGCAGUCGCUGAAGGUGUGUGCCAACCAUAGCAUCAGCAGGGGUAGCCAGCUCACCCCUAUGAACACAUCUGCCAACUCCCUUACCUGGACAGCCAUUGACUACUCCGAGGGUGAUGGGAAGACAAAGCAGCUGGCAGUGAAGUUUAGGACUGCUGAUCAGAUGAAGAGCUUCAAACGGGUGUUCAUGGACUGCCAGAGCCACGCGUUGCUGGUAGAGACACUGUCGCGAGACUCCAACCCCGUGGUGUUCUUCAGCAUAUCUGUGGAUGGAGAGAAUGCUGGGAGGAUCAUCAUGGAGCUGUUCGCUCACAUUGUGCCCAAGACAGCAGAGAACUUCCGCGCUCUGUGUACAGGAGAGAAAGGUUUCGGCUACAAAGGCUCCAUCUUCCAUAGGAUAGUCCCUGACUUCAUGUGUCAGGGCGGUGACAUCACCCAUCAGAACGGCCGUGGCGGACGCUCCAUCUAUGGGGAUUAUUUCGAGGAUGAGAGCUUUGAGGUGCGGCACACCGGGCCAGGCAUGCUGUCCAUGGCCAACUGCGGCAAAGAUACCAACAGCUCACGGUUCUUCAUCACACUGAAGAACACUGAGCACCUGGACUUCAUUCAUGUGGUGUUCGGCUUCAUCAGGGAGGGCAUGAAUGUGCUUAGGAGGAUUGGUGAGAUGGGCAGUAAAGAGGGCAAACCCACACACCGCAUUGUCAUCCAGGACAGUGGACAGCUGUGAGCCUAGGU